ensembl:lncRNA
UAGCAGUUAUAUUAUUUUUGUUAACAGUUUACAAAUGGAUACUAUGUACAAACUAUGUGCACCACUUGUGUCAAUUUAGUUAUUCCUCUUGAAGUCUGAAGUUUACUUGAAGUAGCUUUUAUUUAUUAUUUGAAAAUUUGCACUACAGAGGCAGCUUAUUUGCACUACUACCUCUGAUUUUCUGGCUAAAUGACAACCAGGCAUUUUGUUUUUGUGUCUUGUCAAGUGUCAGAUCUCUUCAGAAGUAAAAUGUCUGAAAACUGAAGAUGUGUGUCUGUGAUUGAUCAAUAUGGGUCAAACCAAACCAGAUCAACUUAUUUCAGAAAGCUUUCACACAGGACGAUUAAGAAUUUCUCAUUCUUUAUGUGGAUAAUGGUAUUCUACCAAACAUGCAAACAUUGACACUUGGCAAUGUCAAUAGAUUCCAUUCAAGUGGCUUGUUAACUAUGUACAAUGUCAAAACAGAAAACUGUAAACAUAUUUGCUUAAACGUCUUGUACAUUUAAAUGCUGUGAUGAACAUCGCCAAAACAUUUUGAACAAAGAUCUUAAAGGGCAUUUGUAGCAGACAGUUUUGUCUGAAGCUCAGUAUGACUGAGUAUGACACACUGGAUGACACGCUGGAAAGAGGUUUGUUCCUUUUAAGGAUCCAGGAAUUGGGUUAGGAUUCUCCUGACUCUCUUCCCUUCUGCUGUCAUGGAGUCACCUCUGACAGCUGGUUGUGUGUCUGGCUGGUUGUCCAUGUCAUACUGAAUUGACUCAACUAUACUGUGGGAGUUUACUUUGUCCUUAGAAGCCUCACAUUAAUUGUAUAGGACAAAACACGCAUGAAUUACAAAGUGCAGAUCCUCUAGAUCAGUUGUGCCCAACUCGCGGUCUACCAGUCGAUUGCAGGCUGAGUUGGAGUUAAACGCAGGUAAUUUGAACCCAGGACACUUUGUUGCGUCGUUGAACACAGAAAUUGACCCACAGCCAUACUAAGUUGGGUCAUGGUGCCCACACUCUUACACAUUAAACAGUAACAUUUGAGCACAGCACAACAUUAAACAGUAACAUUUGAGCACAACACAACCUAGAAAAACACACAUAAACUUAAACACUAGAACAUGAACAUAACAGAUAGGGAUUUAAAUGGAUCCAAAGAUUGUCCCAUAAUGCAAUGCGCCUACCAGCGCAGCCUAACGCGCUACUGUAGCGACUCUCGAUAAUGGAACUCGAGACAUCAAUUUGAUUUUAAUAGAUUUAUUUAGAAACAGGGGAACAGAGCUGCUGACUUUUCCAAAAACCUUGGCGUGAGACCAGCCGGGGUGCACACACGAACACCGACGACGCUCUUUCUGCUCCGCUGAUGGGAGCGCGCGGACGUAUCCGCGCAGCGCGAUACCGUGCGCGUUGUAAACGUGACCAUGGACAGGAAAUGGAACCUUACAUUACUGUUGUGUUCUGGUGCCCCUCUUUUUCAAUGGUAGUCUCCCAUUUUUUUUGGCGUGAGAAAUCGGAGGUGUGGCGUGAGAGCGUGUGAAACCGAUCAAAUGCGUGGGUCUCACGGCCAAUGCGUGAGAGUUGGCAGCCCAGGCUAUGGGCAAAGACUGGGCGGAGCUUGAGGGUGCACGUUAUGAUGACCAAGUGCAGAGCAUCUUGUCAGAAUUUGACAGGCGCUUCACUGACUUUGCAUCCAUUGAGCCUGUUGUCAGCUAUCUCUGUUUUCCAUUUGGGGGAAAUGUAGAUGUGGAUUUGUAUAACGUCCAAAGUGGCAUUAAUCUUCAACCUGGAUAGCUGUGCUAUUGAGAAUGAGAUCCUCACACUGAAGAAUGACAUUGAGCUCAAAUCCAGAGCAACACCUGACAUGAAUGUCCAAUUCUGGAAUCUAAUGCAGAAAGAGAAGUACCCCAACCUCAGACAAA